rnacentral:rRNA from 1 species
AGUAACGCGUAAAGAACUUGCCUCACAGUUAGGGACAACAUUUGGAAACGAAUGCUAAUACCUGAUAUUAUGAUUUUAGGGCAUCCUAAGAUUAUGAAAGCUAUAUGCGCUGUGAGAGAGCUUUGUGUCCCAUUAGCUAGUUGGAGAGGUAACGGCUCACCAAGGCGAUGAUGGGUAGCCGGCCUGAGAGGGUGAACGGCCACAAGGGGACUGAGACACGGCCCUU